GAUGAACGCUGGCGGCGUGCCUAAUACAUGCAAGUCGAGCGAAGCGGGGACGGGUGAGUAACACGUGGAUAACCUCCUAUAAGACUGGGAUAACGUCGGGAAAACGGUGCUAAACCGGCUACUUAUAGAUGGAUCCGCGCUGCAUGAGCUAGUUGAUAAGGUAACGGCGUACCAAGGCAACGAUGCAGAGCCGACCUGAGAGUGUGAUCGUCCACACUGGAACUGGGCCCCGGUCCAGACUCCUACGGGAGGCAGCAUUAGGGAAGCUUCCGCAAUGGGCGAAAGCCUGACGGAGAAACGCCGCGUGAGUGAUGAAGGUCUUCGGAUCGUAAAACUCUGUUAUUAGGGAAGCGGUACCUAAUCAGAAAGCCACGGCUAACUACGUGCCAGCAGCCGCGGUAAUUC
rnacentral:rRNA from 1 species